UAAGGAAUCAACAUGUGAGUAGUUAAUCCUCUAAUUUAGUCAUGUAUUUAAUCAAUUUGAAGAUGAUUUUCAAUAUGAUUCACCUUCUCUCAAGAGCUUAUUGAAUUUGUUGAUUGAAAAUCAUGUGUUUCAGUUACUUGGAUAUUGAGAUGGGAGGGGAAUUCUGCAAAUCUUGUCUGUGUACUUGAUUUAACUUUGAUCAGAGGGCAUUCACGUCGUUUGAACGACAUGUGGUGCUUCCAUUAGGAAUGGAAGUUGAGGAAUUGAAACCAUGGCGUGUGCAGAAAAAUAUAUUAAUAUAUUUGGGGAUAUGUUCUUUAGUGGGUUCACUAAUGGUAAUUUCAUUGAUUAUAUAUUUUUAUUUGGUCAUAAAAAACAUUCUCUCUUAAGGAAAAAUAUAGAAAAAACAUAACGCACUUUCACCACUAUACAUUUUUUACUGUUAAAAAGGAUAAAAUUUCUGGUUACCUGAUUUUGAUUCAUUACUUUAUUGAUAUUGAUAUCAUGAUAUGGCCAUUGAGGUAUUAUUUUUUAUAAUCAUUAUAAUCAUAGUUCAGUGGCUAAGUCGAUAAAUUGGUGCAAUUGCAAGUGCUUUUCUGCAUUUUCUUCGUCUCAUUUUGUAAAGGUCAUUUGUAUAGUAGUAAAGCUUACGCUAGAAGGAAUCAGUCAGAUUUCAUACCCUCAAACUUAGAUAUUUGAUUAUUUAUUGUUGUUGUUGUGCUAUGUGUGAUUACAUGUGUUGGGCAAAAUAUGGUUUAUACUUUGCUUUUCUGGGCAAUUGUAUUUUUCUGUAAUAUUUUUGGAGUUUACGGUCAUGUUUACGGUUGAGUUUACGGUCGUAAACACCUUACGGCCCAUGUUCUCCAAGUAUAAAUAUGGGUGUUUGGGUGAGGAGUAGAGAUUUGAUGAACACGAAGAGAGUUUACGGUCUAGAGAGAAAGGAGCGUUUGUGUGUGUGAAUCUUGUGUAAGGAAUUUCAUUCAUAUAAUCAAUACAAUCAAGAUUCAUAUUAUUCUUCUUCUCCUUCUCUUCUAUUUGAUCUGACAUCAUCCGUUUGAUUGGGAUUCCGCACCAUCAAACGGAUCUGAUUGAUACACGGGCAGAUUAGGGACUUACAAUUGGUAUCAGAGCUAAGUUGUAUCAGUCAAUUUUGUCAGAUUUGGAGCAUUAUUUGAUCUUAUUUUCAAAAUAUUCUUGCGUUUUUGGAUAGAUCUCUGAAAAAUAUGGGGGGUUUGUUCUUCGUGUUUUCAUAAAAAAAAGGUUUUUGAUCGAGUUUUGG